rnacentral:antisense_RNA from 1 species
GCCAUCGGGCCGCGGGCGCUCGGAACAGACCUGGGAGCUGGCGGGACCGUCCUCCCCCGCCACGCCCUCCCAUCGGGCUUUGGGCGCCGGACUCUGGCCACCGCUCGGCACCUGCCUCCGCCUCGCCUUGGGGUAUAGGAGUCCUGUACCGACCCCUGGCUUGCCCAGAGUACAGGUUCUCGCCCGGGCCAGAAGCAAACUGCGGCGAAAUCGAGACAACAGCACUCAGUGCCCUUUCUUUUUCUUCAGAGUCACUCUGUCACCCAGGCUGGAGUGCAGUGGCACCAUCACAGCUCCCUGCAGCCUUGACUUACAGGGCUCCAGUGAUCCUCCACCCUCAGCCUCCUGAGUAUCUGAGACCACAGGUGCAAGCCACCAUGCCCAGUUGUAGCAAGGAAACCAAAAGGUAUAAACAUUCACUGAUUGAAAAACAAUGUCAUAAAGUCAUCCCAGUAUCUGUGAGGAGUUGGUUCCAGGACCCCUGAGGACACCAAAAUCCUCAGAUGCUCAAGUCCCUGAUAAAAAAAUAAAAGCAGUGGUGCCCUCGGGUUCAAAAACCUGAACGGUGGUCUUCAGUUGUUCCCCAAGCUCCUCUAUCAGAGGCCCAGACACUCCAAGAGGCCGGGAAGAGGCAAGUGGCUUUCCCUGACUGGCAUCAGACUCCUGGAUGGCUGUGUUUCUGCAUACUCCACCAUCAACAAUCAGAAGGGCACUGCUUUCUUCAAGAAGGGGACCUUGCAAAGAACUGUCUCAGAUGGACUAUCUUUGAGUUCAUCUUGUUCUGAAUGCGAGUCUGAGUCUUCGUUUCCAGAUGACACAGUGCUGUCUGAGUCCUCUGAAUCACCUGCCUCAGAGCUGCAGCAAAGUUUCUGCUGCCCAGAAACUGAAUGGGCUGCUUGUAAUGCAGAUUCUUCCUCCUGGACAAGAA